CUGGGCCCAACGCAGGAGGCCCUCAGCACCCGAAAACAUCUUCCUCCUCCCCACCCGAGCCUGGAGCACUCUAACCCUCGGAGACCCCCUAAGCCCCGUUCCUCCGCAGACCCAGGCCCUCCGGAAGGGGUGAGUGGGGAGGGGCUUUCCUGAGCCUGGAGCUGGGCUUUGGGGCAGCCUGCGACCCUCCCCGCUUGUGUCCCUUCUCCUGUGAUCUCUGUGUUUUCCCUUUUCUUUCUGGGGCCAGGAAGUCGGGGUCAACUCCCAGGCCUCAGAUGCAGGGGCCCAGAACACCUGCUCUCACCUGAGCCCCAGGUGAAGGGGCCCGGAACACCUGCUCUCACCUGAGCCCCAGGUGAAGGGGCCCGGGAACACCUGCUCUCACCUGAGCCCCAGGUGAAGGGGCCCGGAACACCUGCUCUCACCUGAGCCCCAGGUGAAGGGGCCCGGGAACACCUGCUCUCACCUGAGCCCCAGGUGAAGGGGCCUGGAACACCUCCUGUCACCUGAGCCCCAGGUGAAGGGGCCCGGGAACACCUCUCACCUGAACCCGGGGGUCCCAUCCCAGGAAGAAGGGCCAUCUCAGGACAUGAGUCCUCAGGGGCCCUGCACAUUCAAUCUGAAGGUGACCCUGGCCUGGCUGAAGCUGGAAGAGCUGUGGGGACUCAGCCUGUAAACAGAGCGUAAGGUUCACAUGCUGGUUGCUUAAUCCGUUUCUGGAGGAAAAGUAUGACCCCCACUUGUGAUGGGGUCCUUGUGCGGUGGGGACCGGGGCCGGCGGGCUCCAGGCCAGCACACCUAACCCAUGGAUGUGGAACCUACGGCCCAGAAGGAAUGUUGCAUGAGUCGGAUCCCAGUCCAUUGUCAGUGGAGGGUGAGGGUGACCCCAUCUGAUAUUUUUGUGCUCAUCCUCAUACAACCAUUUGGGGAUGUGCCUAUUAGGGCUCCGUAAGAGCUCAGAUGCCUGGGAAGCCCAGCCCCUCAGGUGCCCCCACACACAGCCUUCCCUUGACGCCUACAUUUCUAGGCACAUGUGAGGCAUCUUUCCUGGAGCCCCGAGCCAGCCCUGUCCCUCCCCAGUGCAGCAUGGCACUCAGGAGAUACAGGCUGGACAUGGGGCAGUCGUUCUGGGGAGGCCCUG
rnacentral:lncRNA from 1 species